UACGUAGGGGGCAAGCGUUGUCCGGAAUCAUUGGGCGUAAAGCGCGUGUAGGCGGCCCACUAAGUCCGCUCUGAAAGCCCGGGGCUCAACCCCGGGAGGCGGGUGGAUACUGGUGGGCUCGAGUCCGGAAGAGGUCAGUGGAAUUCCCGGUGUAGCGGUGAAAUGCGCAGAUAUCGGGAGGAACACCAAUGGCGAAGGCAGCUCGCUGGGACGUUACUGACGCUGAGACGCGAAAGCGUGGGGAGCAAACAGG
rnacentral:rRNA from 1 species